rnacentral:rRNA from 1 species
UACGUAGGGGCCUAGCGUUGUCCGGAUUUAUUGGGCGUAAAGAGCUCGUAGGCGGUUCGGUAAGUCAGGUGUGAAAUCUCCACGCUCAACGUGGAGGCGCCACCUGAAACUGCCGUGACUCGAGUCCGGUAGGGGAGUGUGGAAUUCCCGGUGUAGCGGUGAAAUGCGCAGAUAUCAGGAAGAACACCCGUGGCUAAGGCGGCUCUCUAGUACGGUACUGACGCUGAGACGCGAAAGCGUGGGGAGCGAACAGG